UAAAGAUUAUUAAAAUGCACAGUGUGGAUACCUUGGCACAGGAAAAUGGACGUAUAAAAACGAAAAGCCACGCACAAGAAUAAUCUUAGAAACGUGGAUCUCCAAAGGGAAACCAAAUAUAUAUGUAUAAAGUAAAAGGAAACAUCCUAUAGCUUUCAAAAGAAAUCAACAGAGAUUCCGUCAGUAGAGGUGAUCGAAAGCGGUUUAUGCUAUGCUUUGCAAAAAAAAAAUGUUUUCGAAAAAGCUGAAAAGCUUUGUCAAAGAAGGUUAAAACCCUGUAGAAAAUAAUGGUUCUCUAUGAUAAAAAAUUUUAAUAGUUUUGCUGUUAAAAUUUUUUAUCAUGUUUUGGCUAAUGAAUUUAAAAAAAAGUUAAAGGGGUACCACCCUCAACAGCUAAAAAUAUCCUGUGACCGAUAGUGUACAAGUACCAUGAGGGAAAGGUGAAAAGAAGUGUGAAACACUAGUGAAAUAGAACUUGAAACACUGUGCAUAUAUACAGUUUAUAUGUUUAUAUAUAAGUAAUUAUUGUAAAAGAUGUAUAAACGUGCCGCUUGAAUGCUGAGUCAACGAGUAAAUAAAAACAGCAAGCUUAAGCCUUUAGGUGUAGGCGUAUAGACAAAAAAAAAUACUUUGAAUAAAAGUCAAAAGUGGUAAAAAGAGAGUACUACGUACUCUCUUUCAUGCUUUUGACUUUCUUGUGUUAUAUAAAUAGUUGUUUUUAUUUAACCCGAAACCGAAGCGAUCUUUCCAUGAGCAGGUUGACGUCCCAAUAGGAUAAUCCAGGACAGAAGACCGAACUCGUUUAUGUAGCAAUAUAAUGAGAUGACUUGUGGAAAGGAGUGAAAGGCUAAUCAAGCUCGGUCAUAACUGGUUUUUUGCGAAAUGUAUUUAGGUACAGCGGUAUUGUCUUAUUAUACUAUUUUGUAGAGUCACGUCUAUGGAUAGUGAGGUCCUAAGCCUUGUGAACCUUGGACAACUCCAAAGAAAUAGUUUCUUAAUACCAGACAGACUUUGUGCGCAAAGGUGCAAAGUCAAAAGGGAAACAGCCCAGAUCUGCAGCUAAGGUCCUUAAGCGAUUUUCUUAGUGGGAAUCAUGAUAUGUAUGCAUAAAAGACUAGAAGUUAGACUUGGAAGCAGCCAUGCUAUAAUGACAGCGUAACAGCUCACUGGUUUAGCAUGCAUGUCUAUAAUAUUAACGGGUCUAAAGAAAUCCACCGAAGCUCAGAUUCAACUCUUUAAAGAGUUGAAGGUAGCAAAACGUUCUGUAGAUCGUAAAAAAAUUCGGAAACGAAUUUGUAGAUAUCAGAAGUGACUAUGUUGACAUAAGUAACGUUAAAACAAAAGCACCCUAAGAGUUGUAAGAUUCUUAUGGGUGUUGUUGGCCAUAAUUUCAAGGUUUUCUACGCACCGUCAAACGUCGUGGAGUGAUGCGGUCCCUAAGAGAAUGUAUAUAAAAAUACUCUUGAUGGGCAAUAUGCUAUAUAAUAUAUAUUAUAUCUAAGGCUAAAAAAAAUAUUGAAUUAUCUUUUUUAAAUGAGAUAAUUAUGUUUAUUUUUAUAUGUUUUACAGGAAAAUUAUAAUAUAAAAAUCUAGUAAUAUACCGUACUAAAACCGACACUGGUGAGAUAGAUUAAUAAUUCUAAGGCCUAGAGACAACCAUGUUGAAGGAACUCGGCAAAUUACUCACGUGACUUCGGAGGAAGUGAGGCCCUCUUGAUUAUAUCUGAGGGGGUGAAGAUAAACAGAGGACGGCGACUGUUUAACAAAAACACAGGGCUCUGCAAAGUGGAAACACGAAGUAUAGGGCCUGACGCCUGCCCGGUGCAUGUUUAUAACUUAUUUUUUUUUAUGGAAAAGUAAAUAAACGCAUGUAAACGGCAGCGGUAACACUAACCGUUCUAAGGUAGCGAAAUUCCUAGGCGCAUAAUUGGCGUCCUGCAUGAAUGGCGUAACGAUCGUCCUGCUGUCUCCAACAUGGGCUCUGUGAAAUUGAAUUCUUCGUGAAGAUGCGAAGGUCCUGGCAGGGGACGAAGAGACCCUGUGCACCUUAACUAUAAGCUGAGUACUCUUUGAAUCAAAAAAAGUGUAGAAUAGGUGGGAGAAGCUUUACUGUUUCAAAAGUGAAAUACCACUCUUUUUUUAUUUCAAAGAAAAAAAAGAAUAAUAUCUUUUUAUACUUUGCUUGGUAGUAGAUUUGGGGCGAAGUCCCCCUAAAAAGUACCGGGGGAGUUCAAAGGUUAGCCGGGGGUAGAGUAAUCUAUACCCUAUAGCGUAACUGCAUAAGCUAGCUUAACUGUGAGAAAUACCAUUCAAACAGAAACGAAAGUUGGAAGUAGUGACCCAGACAUACGGUGUGGAAGUAUGUCUGCUCAACGGAUAAAAGGUACGCCAGGGAUAACAGGCUAGUGUUCCCCAAGAGUUCAUAUCGACGGGAAUGUUCGGCACCUCGAUGUCGAAUCAUCGCAUCCUGCGGCUGCAAAAGGUCGCAAGGGUUGAACUGUUCGUUCAUUAAAGCGGUACGUGAUUUGGGUUCAGAACGUCAAGACAGUUCGGUUUCUAUCUCUGUCAGGUGUUUAUGACUGCGGGAAAGUUUUUAUAGUACGAAAGGACCAUAAAGACCAAACCUCUGGUGCAUUUGUUGUUUAGGCAUAGCAAAGAAGCUACGUUUGAAUUAUACAUUAAUUAAUAAAUUAAUUAAUUACUAACUGCUGAAAACAUAUGAAGCAGGAAGAAUUUCCUUAAAUAAAGUCACAAAAUUUUUAAACGCUAAACUCUAUGGCGAAAUAGGCGUAAACUCUCCUUCUGUAAAGAAAACGGUA
rnacentral:rRNA from 1 species